rnacentral:rRNA from 1 species
CACCAGGUUGAUUCUGCCUGAUGUGGACGCUUGCCUUAAGGAUUAAGCCAUGCAAGCCAGCGAAUAUUUGAAGCGGCAUACGGCUCAGUAGGACAGGCCUAAUCUGAUCACGACACGGGAUAACCGCGGUAAACUGUGGCUAAUACGAAUAGUGAGUGAGGGCCUGGCCUAUCAGCUAGUCGGUGGGGUAACGGCUCACCGAGGCGAACACGGGUAACGAGGAAUCGGGGUUUGAUUUGGAGAGGGAGCCUGAGAGAUGGCUGCCACGUCUAAGGAUGGCAGCAGGCGCGAAACUUACCCACUCGGAGGACCGGAGGUAGUGACGGGGCGUGAUUUAUGAUGAGGGCGCUGCAAAUAUGCGUCCGAAAGCGACUAGAGGGCAAGUCUGGUGCCAGCAGCCGCGGUAAUUCCAGCUCUAGGGGCGUCUGUGUGUAUUGCUGCGGUUAAAGGGUGCGUAGUCGGGCGUAAGGCCAAUGGUAAAUGCCCAAGUUCCGCUUGGGAGGGACAUUGGUACCGAAGCCUUGGGACCGGAGAAGGGUAGUGGUAUUCGGGUGCGAGGGGUGAAAACUACUGACCAUCCGAGGAGCGACUGAGGCGAAAGCGACUGUCCGAGACGGGUCCGACGAUCAAGCACGUAGGCAGGAGUAUCGAAGGCGAUUAGAGACCGUCGUAGUUUUUGCAGUAAACGAUGCCAACAGGGAGGAGCGGGGAGCUUGUCCUGAGGGAAACCGAGUGUAUGGGCCCCGGGGAUAGUAUAGGCGCAAGCUGGAAACUUGAAGAAAUUGACGGAAGGACACCACAAGGAGUGGAUUAUGCGGGUUAAUUUGACUCAACGCGGGACAACUUACCAAGUCAGGCGGCCGCCGGAGAUCAGGCUGUCUAUGGAGUGGCAUGAGAGGCAGCCGCGCGUGGUGCAUGGCCGUUUUUAACACGUAGGGUGACUCGUCUGGUUAAAUCCGAUAACGCGUGAGACCUAGAGCUGCGGCGACGGCAUUCGUAAGAGUGAGGAGGCACUAGUCGAUAACAGGUCUGUGAUGCCCGUAGAUGUUUUGGGCUCCACGCGUAAUACAUUGGGGAAGGGUCAGUGAAACUGCGCUUUCCCGGGGUUGGGAUUGACGCUUGUAAAUGCGUCAUGAACGCGGAAUUCCUAGUACCGAGCUGUCAUUAACGGCUGGAGAAUGUGUCCCUGUUCUUUGUACACACCGCCCGUCGUUAUCUAAGAUGAGUGUGCGGAUGAAGACAGCAGGCCUGUAAGAAUCCGUAUGCUUAGAUUGGAUACAAGUCGUAACAAGGUAAC